rnacentral:rRNA from 1 species
AUGGAGAUCGCCAGGAGGAGGAGGUCGCUGUGCUCGAGCCGUCGCCGGCGGUCGGCGGCGGUGGGGCGGAAGGUGCGGGAGCUGCGGCGGCUGGUCCCCGGGGCGGCGGUUAUGCCCACCGACCGGCUGCUCGUCCGCACGGCCGACUACAUCGCGCAGCUCCGGGUCAGGGUGGAGCUCCUCAGGGCGCUCUCGGAGCUCUGCGAAGGGCAUGGCCAUGGCGACUCCCCUAGCUAG